GAGUGUGCCACUGCAAGCCGGCUGUGUGGCUCUUAAUUUCUUCUGAAACUCUGCUGGUGGUGGUAUGUCAGUUGAAAGUACUAAAAACGUUAAGGGUAACGGUUGUAGCCACGUUGCUUAAUCUGUUACCUACAGGGACAUAAGAUACCGUCGUGCAUAUCACCAAUAUAGUAAACAUGCUUGCGAAGUAAGUGUAUGGAGAUUUGCUCGUACUGGCUGUUUUACUUUACAUUUCAAUGAGAGAGAUGUUGAUAGCAGUGGAACUUUAGAGGAUAGAAGAUCGUACAUCCUUUGCAAAUUUUAUACGAAUGGAUGUAUUGGUAUUUAAAGAACUGCUUUGUUUGGUUUCGCCUCUGAUUCAGAAGAAAGACACGGUGAUGCGUCAGGCAAUUACGGCCCGGGAAAGGCUUGCUGUCACACUGCGUUUCCUAGCGACCGGAAACAUUUACAAAUAUUUGGCCUAUUCUACACGAAUAGCGAAAAACACGGCCAUAGCAAGUGUUUGGAGAUAAUGCGAUACAGGUACCCACAAGCAGAGGAGAAUGGGAGCAAAUUGCAGAGGAUUUCGAGAAGAAGUGGAACUGUUAUAACACUAUUGGAGCAAUGGACGGAAAGCACAUUCGUAUUAAAUGUCCACAAGCUAGUGGAUCUCACUUUCUCAAUUAUAAAUCCUUCAACAGUAUCAUUUUAUUUGCCAUGGUAGAUGCUUCCUACAAAUAUUUGUAUGUAGAUGUAGGAACUAAUGGGCGUGUUCGUGAUGCUGAAGUGUUUUCAAAAAGCAAACUACGUGAGUGUCUCAUUGACCGAUCUAUGCUCAACAUUCCUGAAGGCAGGAAGCUUGGGAACACAAACAUUACAACUCCAAUGGUAGUACUGGCAGAUGACGCUUUUCCUCUGAGUUAUAACAUUAUGAAGCCAUACCCCUUAAAAGGAAUCACAAAAGAAAAGGUUUUCAAUUACCGACUGUCACGAGGGAGAAGAUUAGUGGAGAGCAGCUUUGGCAUUCUUGCAAGUCGUUUCAGGAUUUUUCUUACUACCAUUAAUCUGCCUCCUGAAAAAGUUACCACAAUAACACUGGCUGCCUGCACAUUGCACAACUUGUUAACUGAGAGAAGAAAACACUUGUACAUUUGUCAGGAAACAGUGUCUGCCGUAGUAGGAGACUGUACUUAUCUUGAGACACAAAGCACUGAGCACCUACAGCAAAUGGAACCAAUAGCUUGCCAAGCUGCUUCUGGACGUACAGUACAUGGGAGAGCAGUUAGGGAAUACUUUAAGACAUUUUACAAUGGCACUGGGAAAGUGCCCUGGCAAGAUAAUCACAUUUAGUAACGUAAAAUGUAAACAAAUGUACAUUCCUCAAACGUCGGUGUGGCACGUUCACUUCCAGUUUCACUUUCCGUGCCCUCCAUAUUGCACACACUCUCGUUGGCCUCUGUUGACUGGUUGAGAAAUUUUAGCAUUUGGAACCAGUACACUUGUGGUGUGUACGUCGCCUGCGCACUGGCUCCACUUUUGCUUUUAUGCAUCUGCAAUGUUAGUAGUGAAAAUAAUUUAAACUACUUGUAGGUUACGUAAACAUUAUUGUAUGCUUAAAGUCGCUGCAGUGAACAACU